UACGGAGGGUGCAAGCGUUGUCCGGAAUCACUGGGCGUAAAGGGCGCGUAGGCGGCUCAUGAAGGCUGUGGUGAAAGUCCGGGGCUCAACCUCGGAUCGGCCGUGGCGACUCGUGGGCUGGAGCACUGUAGAGGCGGGUGGAAUUCCGGGUGUAGCGGUGGAAUGCGUAGAGAUCGGGAAGAACACCAGUGGCGAAGGCGGCCCGCUGGGCAGUGGCUGACGCUGAGGCGCGACAGCGUGGGGAGCAAACAGG
rnacentral:rRNA from 1 species